rnacentral:pre_miRNA from 1 species
UGUUAAAAAUUUAAUCCAUUUUUACUAUUAAAAAUUGGCAUGGUUAACGAAAUAACCUGACAAUGACACAUGGCUGGGUAUGUGUAACUCAUACUGACGUAUAGGAACCAGUUUUUAACAGUAGAAAUUGAUGGAAAUUUUUAAAA